rnacentral:rRNA from 1 species
GGACUACUGGGGUAUCUAAUCCUGUUCGCUCCCCACGCUUUCGCGUCUCAGCGUCAGUACCGUCCCAGAGAGCCGCCUUCGCCACGGGUGUUCUUCCCGAUAUCUGCGCAUUUCACCGCUACACCGGGAAUUCCACUCUCCUCUUCCGGACUCUAGCCAAACGGUUUCCACCGACCUCUCGAGGUUGAGCCUCGAGUUUUCACAGCGGACCUGCUUGGCCGCCUACACGCUCUUUACGCCCAAUAAAUCCGGACAACGCUUGCCCCCUACGUAUUACCGCGGCUGCUGGCAC